ensembl:lncRNA
ACUCCAACCAGGGAGCUUCCACUCCCCCUCCAGUGGGAGAGGCCCGAGUUCCCAAUUCCACCGAAACAGAGAAAGGUAGAAAAUUCACUGCCACACACAUUACUUUUGGCCUAGAGUGAAACUUGCAAUUGAAAUGACCUACAAAAUCCAAACUAUAAUAAAUUGAGAACAUUUCUACUGUUAGCUUUCUAUUAAAAUAGAGAUAUAGUGAUGAUAAUUAAUAAGAAUAUUGUCUUGACAACUGUUGAAUAUUCUACUCUCUGUCUAAUGUAUUAUCAGAUCAUCAGAGCCCUCAGCGCUCAGAGUCUUUUGCUGGGAUAGCAUCUUCCCCAAGUUCUUCACUGUCUGCAUCCUCUCCUCCAGUCUCUACUGUAUCAGCUCCUGCAUCCAUGUCAGCCUCGGCCAUUGCUGCCCAAAAAGAUGUAACACCCGCUGCCUUGCCAACAGCAGAGCAAGUUUCCUCUGCUACACUGCCUGCAGGCCCAGUCCCUGUCAUGGCUUCCAGCACCUCUGCUGCUCCUUUCCCUGCAGUUGCAGCCCUCAUUGGCUCCAGCAUGGACCAAGGAAAAGCUGCAGUUAAAGGUGAGGCUGAACAGCCCCUCUCCACCUUAUCUACUUAUGGGACCCCUCCAGCAUCGCUGGUGACCCACGCUGAUACUUCACAGCAACUUCUAGCACAAACCCCAAUGGCACCCUUGCAGACAACAGAUGUACUUCAACAAACCCAGACACUACAGUCAGCAAUGGUCACCACCGAACAAGCUCAGAAACAGCAGAUUAUGCCUCAGCCAGUGUGCCAGGUCACUCCACAGCCACCUACACUCCAGUCUAGCGAGUCAAAAACACUAUCACAGCCAAUGCCAAUAGAGACCGUACCUUCUCAGGGAGCUCUUCUAGCUGCCCAAGUUCAGCAGGUUUCUCACCAACAAAUACCAGUUGAAUCGCAACAGCCGGCAAUGCAACAGACCGCUUUCUUGCAGCAACACGGCUUUCAAACAGCCACUGCUGAGCAAAUCCAACAGCACAAGGUAGAUGAGUGUGUGUCUCAAGAAACCACAGCGAUACUGACCAUGCAUCCACAGCAUGGCCUCCAGACCCAGGAUCCCCAACAGCUUCAAUCUGCAUUUCAACCGGUGAUCCCACAGCAGCUUCCCAGUGAGCAAACGCAGAUGUUACUUCAGCAGGUACCACAUGAUAUGGCGCCUGUGACACAAACCGCAGUGCCUCCGGCUGUGCAGAAGCAGGUGUCUAUCCAGCAGUCAGAGUCUGAGGUGUCCACAGGGGAAGACACCGUCAGCUACUCUGCCCCACCCAAUCCCACUUCAGAUACCUCUCUCCCACCCCUGCCACUCUCUGAAACAGCUCUUCCUGCCCUCUCCCACACUUUUACACCCUCUCCAGCCCAGCCCUCCUCGGUAGCAGAGUCAGACAGCGAAGGCCCACCCAAAAUUGAGUUUGUGGACAACCGGAUCAAGACAUUGGAUGAGAAGCUGAGGACUCUUUUGUAUCAGGAACACAGUGGUAGUGGGGCAGCACUGGGAAGUGGCUCCACCAGCGGCU